GCCGGGUGUGGUGGUGCGCGCCUGUAGUCCCAGCUACUUGGAGGCUGAGGCAGGAGAAUGGCAUGAACCCGGGAGGCGGAGCUUGCAGUGAGCCGAGAUCUGGCCACUGCACUCCAGCCUGGGCGACAGAGCCAGACUCCGUCUCAA
ensembl:misc_RNA Metazoa_SRP Metazoan signal recognition particle RNA